GAUAAGUUGGAUAAGUUUGAAAUUGAUGAAUCUGGUAAACUUAAGAUAGUUAAAAAGUUACCUAAAGGUCAACAUUUUUUGAAAUUACAACAACAAGAUAAACAUUAUGCUAAAAGCAGUCAGAAUGUCAAAAUAAAAGAUGUUGGUAAUAAUGAAGCUCUUAUUGUGAUACAGUUUGGAAAACCUGAAAUAAUAGAAGAAAAGAAGAAAGUGGUCUUUUUACAUUCUACUCCAUUCUAUAAAUUUUUUCUUCCUAAUGCACCACUAAGUGACUACAAUUUUGAAAUAAAGGUUAUUAGUGAUGGCGGUGUUGAUGAACAAAUCAGGAUUAAAAACAAUAGUGAUAUAUUUAGUAUUGAUCCAGUCAAUAAUGAAAUUUUUCCAUUAAAAGAUAUUUCAAUACUAGAAAACUUUCAAACAGUUUUAACAGUAGAAGCUAUAAAUUUUGUUGAUGAAAAAUUAGACAUUUAUAUAUAUCAGCUCCACGAAGAGAAUUGUUUAAAUAUUUCUAUUUCAACAAACAUUUCAGUACUACUGAGUAAAUCUCAAAUAGAAA